CCACCCCGAGUAAACGGCGUCAGGAACUGUGUUCUUGGCCAGGGGAUAAGACCAGUUCCUACUUCCGGGAGCUGCUGGCACUUUAAGGGAGAUCAGUGUGCACAUGGAUGACACCAGCCACAGUGGAAAUCAGGCGGGGACUUGGGGACAGGGAGCGCGAGGUCAACUCGGACUUUGCACACAGGGCAUGGUGACACGGCCCUGCCGGGAAGUGCAGGGUCGAGGUCAGAUGUCCAGGGCGAGGCUGAGUUCAUGAGGAGCCUGGGGCGGGGGUGGGGGUGGGGGACCCUGUCCCAGGGCAGGGGUUUGGGGAGGCAGAAGGACACACGAGGACUUCCUGGGCUGGGCUGCUGGGCAGCACUGGCCGGUGGACUCUGACCUGGGACUCGAUCGUCCUGCUCUCUGUCUCCACCGGUCCUGUCGCCGUUGCCGCCGUGGCCAUGCUGGUCCCCAGGGCUGCACCCCUCUUGACGCUGCUCCUGGCCACGGGCUCCUUGGGCCAGAGGGCUCAGAGACCCCCUCGACGCCCAUCCCCCAUCAGCACCAUCCAGCCCAAGGCCAGCUUUGAUGCCCAGCAGUUUGCAGGGACGUGGCUCCUGGUGGCCGUGGCUUCCUCCUGCCGCUUCCUGCAAGAGCAGGGCCACCGGGCUGAGGCCACUUCACUGCACGUGGCUCCUCAGGGUGCAGCCAUGGCCGUCAGCACCUUCCGAAAGCUGGAUGGGAUCUGCUGGCAGGUGCGGCAGCUCUUCAGAGACACGGGGCUCCCAGGUCGCUUCCUGCUCCAGGCCCGAGGCGCCCGAGGCGCGGUGGAUGUGGUCGUUGGGGAGACGGACUACCGGAGCUUUGCCAUCCUGUACCUGGAGAGGGCCCGGCAGCUGUCGGUGAAGCUGUACGGUAAAGGCACACGGGGCUGUCCAGGCGAGCCGGGCGACCCCGGAUGGACGCAGACCCGUCCCUCUUGCUCCCGCUCUUGUAGAUGGGCCCAAAUGUGGGGACGGGGAGGGGACCAGGAGGGCCGGGGGCCAGGGGUCAGACUGCAACCCCAGGCACACAGCCCACCCCACCCGCGGGUGCCCAGGAGCCCCAUGUGUCCUGCACGCAGCCCGCUCGCUCCCCGUGAGCGAAUCAGCCCUGAGUGUCUUUGAGCAGCGGGUCCAGGGGGCCAACCUGACCGAGGACCACAUCCUGUUCUUCCCCAAGUACGGCUUCUGCGACGCUGCAGACCAGUUCCACGUCCUGGACGAAGCAAAGCAGUGAGGCCGGGGCCUUGCCGCCGAGAGAGAGCCACAAGCUGGAAGUGUGGGCACCCGCCACUCCUGGCCGAGCGGGGGCCUCUCCCAUCUGCCCUGGAUGCUGCCACCCCCCCACGAGCUCGGGGCGCCACCUUCAUUAAACACUGUCGGUCUCA